rnacentral:rRNA from 1 species
UGGGGAAUUUUGGACAAUGGGGGAAACCCUGAUCCAGCCAUCCCGCGUGUGCGAUGAAGGCCUUCGGGUUGUAAAGCACUCUUGUCAGGAAAGAAACGUCAUGGGUUAAUACCCCGUGAAACUGACGGUACCUGCAGAAUAAGCACCGGCUAACUACGUGCCAGCAUCCGCGGUAAUACGGAGGGUGCAAGCGUUAAUCGGAAUUACUGGGCGUAAAGCGUGCGCAGGCGGUUCGGAAAGAAAGAUGUGAAAUCCCAGAGCUCAACUUUGGAACUGCAUUUUUAACUACCGGGCUAGAGUGUGUCAGAGGGGGGUGGAAUUCCGCGUGUGGCAGUGAAAUGCGUAGAUAUGCGGAGGAACACCGAUGGCGAAGGCAGCCUCCUGGGAUAACACUGACGCUCAUGCACGAAAGCGUGGGGAGCAAACAGG